CACGUAGGGUGCGAGCGUUGUCCGGAAUUAUUGGGCGUAAAGAGCUCGUAGGCGGUGUGUCGCGUCGGCCGUGAAAACCUGCAGCUUAACUGUGGGCGUGCGGUCGAUACGGGCAUCACUGGAGUUCGGCAGGGGGAGACUGGAAUUCCUGGUGUAGCGGUGAAAUGCGCAGAUAUCAGGAGGAACACCGGUGGCGAAGGCGGGGUCUCUGGGGCCCGAUACUGA
rnacentral:rRNA from 1 species